CUAUUUCCUUUACCAUUCAAAGCCAAACGCUCUUAAUUGCUCCAGAAGUCUGCUGCAGUUUGGAAAACACUUUGUGAUAUUCCCUGAGCUUGAUCUCUGCGGUUCACUUGCGUCUGUGUUUAUUCCUGUGUGGAGAAAAUUGGUUUACUCGAGCUGUAAUUUUGAUAUGACACUCAAAUAUUCCCUUGAACGCGCACCAUUUGGUAAGCUUUGUAGUCCUAAUGGGCAUUCAUUAUGGUUUUCAAGAUAAGUUUAUGUUGUCAUUAAAUGUGACUAAACACAGAAACAAACAUUUCCCAAACGCACCUUUAUCUGCGCAGAAGAGAGGCCGGGAACGGCGCGCUUUGGCUGCAGAGAGGGAUCAGAUAGCCUGGGGUCGUCUGAUCGGACCGGAU